ACUCUUUCAAGGAUAAUCCCCAGUAGGCUUUCUAAACCUUCCGUCAGAAAGAAAGGUAAUGAACAUUAUUAAUGGAGUGAUAUAGGUCAAGGUAAACUUGUGGACUAACAGUUUGAAGAUCAUAGAAUCAUAGAAUCAUAGAAUAUCCUGAGUUGGAAGGGACCCUUAAGGAUCAUCAAGUCCAACUCUUGACACCGCACAGGUCUACCCAAAAGUUCAGACCAUGUGACUAAGCGCACAGUCCAAUCUCUUCUUAAAUUCAGUCAGGCUCGGUGCAGUGACCACUUCCCUGGGGAGCCUGUUCCAGUGUGCAACCACUCUCUCUGUGAAGAACCCCUUCCUGAUGUCCAGCCUAAACUUCCCCUGCCUCAGCUUAACUCCGUUCCCGCGGGUCCUGUCGCUGGUGUUAAUGGAGAAAAGGUCUCCUGCCUCUCGACACCCCCUUACGAGGAAGUUGUAGACUGCGAUGAGGAGGGGGUUCUUCACAGAGAGAGUGGUUGCACACUGGAACAGGCUCCCCAGGGAAGUGGUCACUGCACCGAGCCUGACUGAAUUUAAGAAGAGAUUGGACCGUGCACUUAGUCACAUGGUCUGAACUUUUGGGUAGACCUGUGCGGUGUCAAGAGUUGGACUUGAUGAUCCUUAAGGGUCCCUUCCAACUCAGGAUAUUCUAUGAUUCUAUGAUUCUAUAAUAACUUUAGGAUCUGUUUCAUCACAUCACCAAACAUCUUACAAUGCCCAAAACAUCUUUCUUAUUUCUUAUGGUACACCAUACUAAGCCACGCAUCAAAUAAAACUCUAGUUAGCACUGUAGUUUAUAUAAUGUUACUACAAUAUGUUAAUGUUUUAAAUGUUGGUUUUCUCAUAAAUCCUUAUUCUUCCCCUACUCUCAUGGCGGUUGAGAUAUUUUUUCCAGCAGUGAGAAUGAAAAAUAUAAAUUAAAUAAAAAUUUGUUGCUAAUUAUAACUACAGGACAUGUCUAGAAAACAAACUAAAGGCAUGUAGUAAAAAUUAAAUUUAUACUUAUAUAUAUAUUCAGAC
rnacentral:lncRNA from 1 species